GAUGAACGCUAGCGGGAGGCCUAACACAUGCAAGCCGAGCGGUAGAGUUCCUUCGGGAACUUGAGAGCGGCGUUCGGGUGCGUAACACGUGUGCAACCUACCUUUAUCUGGGGGAUAGCCUUUCGAAAGGAAGAUUAAUACCCCAUAAUAUAAUGAUUGGCAUCAAUUAUUAUUGAAAACUCCGGUGGAUAGAGAUGGGCACGCGCAAGAUUAGAUAGUUGGUGAGGUAACGGCUCACCAAGUCAAUGAUCUUUAGGGGUCCUGAGAGGGAGAUCCCCCACACUGGUACUGAGACACGGACCAGACUCCUACGGGAGGCAGCAGUGAGGAAUAUUGGACAAUGGGUGAAAGCCUGAUCCAGCCAUCCCGCGUGAAGGAUGACGGUCCUAUGGAUUGUAAACUUCUUUUGUACAGGGAUAAACCUACUCUCGUGAGGGUAGCUGAAGGUACUGUACGAAUAAGCACCGGCUAACUCCGUG
rnacentral:rRNA from 1 species